AGUCGAACGGCAGCACGGGAGCAAUCCUGGUGGCGAGUGGCGAACGGGUGAGUAAAGUAUCGGAACGUGCCCAGUCGUGGGGGAUAACGCAGCGAAAGUUGUGCUAAUACCGCAUACGAUCUAUGGAUGAAAGCGGGGGAUCGCAAGACCUCGCGCGAUUGGAGCGGCCGAUAUCAGAUUAGCUAGUUGGUGGGGUAAAGGCUCACCAAGGCGACGAUCUGUAGCUGGUCUGAGAGGACGACCAGCCACACUGGGACUGAGACACGGCCCAGACUCCUACAGGAGGCAGCAGUGGGGAAUUUUGGACAAUGGGCGCAAGCCUGAUCCAGCAAUGCCGCGUGCAGGAUGAAGGCCUUCGGGUUGUAAACUGCUUUUGUACGGAGCGAAAAGGCUCUCUCUAAUACAGGGGGCUCAUGACGGUACCGUAAGAAUAAGCACCGGCUAACUACGUGCCAGCAGCCGCGGUAAUACGUAGGGUGCGAGCGUUAAUCGGAAUUACUGGGCGUAAAGCGUGCGCAGGCGGUUUUGUAAGACAGAGGUGAAAUCCCCGGGCUCAACCUGGGAACUGCCUUUGUGACUGCAAGGCUAGAGUACGGCAGAGGGGGAUGGAAUUCCGCGUGUAGCAGUGAAAUGCGUAGAUAUGCGGAGGAACACCGAUGGCGAAGGCAAUCCCCUGGGCCUGUACUGACGCUCAUGCACGAAAGCGUGGGGAGCAAACAGGAUUAGAUACCCUGGUAGUCCACGCCCUAAACGAUGUCAACUGGUUGUUGGGAAUUAACUUUCUCAGUAACGAAGCUAACGCGUGAAG
rnacentral:rRNA from 1 species